ACCACCUGAACCCAUGCCGAACUCAGAAGUGAAACGCGGUAGCGCCGAUGGUAGUGUGGCAUUCGCCAUGCGAGAGUAGGACACUGCC
rnacentral:rRNA from 1 species